CCCGACUUAGCUCAGUCUGGCAGAGCGUCCGCCUGUAGAGCGGAUUGUCCCAGGUUCAAAUCCUGGAGUCGGGA
rnacentral:tRNA from 4 species